rnacentral:piRNA from 1 species
UGCAACGCUAGCUCUGGACAAAACUGCAAA